ACANUGAAUAACGGGUCAGACUCCUACGGGAGGCAGCAGUCGGGAAUUUUGGGCAAUGGGGGAAACCCUGACCCAGCAACGCCGCGUGAAGGAUGAAGCCCCUCGGGGUGUAAACUUCGAAAGAAUGGGAAGAAAAAAAUGACGGUACCAUUUAUAAGCUCCGGCUAACUACGUGCCAGCAGCCGCGGUAAUACGUAGGGAGCAAGCGUUGUUCGGAUUUACUGGGCGUAAAGGGCGCGUAGGCGGCAUAUUAAGUCAGCUGUGAAAUCUCCGAGCUUAACUCGGAACUGUCAGCUGAAACUGAUGUGCUUGAGUGCAGAAGGGGCAAUCGGAAUUCUCGGUGUAGCGGUGAAAUGCGUAGAUAUCGAGAGGAACACCUGAGGCGAAGGCGGGUUGCUGGGCUGACACUGACGCUGAGGC
rnacentral:rRNA from 1 species